UACGGAGGGGGCUAGCGUUAUUCGGAAUUACUGGGCGUAAAGCGCGCGUAGGCGGAUAAGCAAGUCAGGGGUGAAAUCCCGGGGCUCAACCUCGGAACUGCCUUUGAUACUCGUUGUCUGGAGGACGUGAGAGGCGAGUGGAAUUCGGAGUGUAGAGGUGAAAUUCGUAGAUAUUCGGCGGAACACCCGUGGCGAAGGCGGCUCGCUGGUCCGUUUCUGACGCUGAGGCGCGAAAGCGUGGGGAGCAAACAGG
rnacentral:rRNA from 1 species